rnacentral:tRNA from 1 species
GCAGGUAUAAUUUAAUUAAAAUGUUAGAUUGUGAUUCUAAAAAUAGGGGUUAAACCCCCCUUACCCGCC